GAUCCCUCAAAGACGAUGAGGUAGAUAGGUUCGAGGUGGAAGUGUGGUGACACAUGGAGCUGACGAAUACUAAUCGAUCGAGGACUUAACCAA
rnacentral:rRNA from 4 species